CAAUUCCAUUUCCUUCUCCAUUGGAGGAUCCAUCCACCAAUAUCUCUCAUCUGUUUGGAUUUCGCUCAUUUAAUAAAUCAUUAGGAUUUCCAUGUUCUUCAUCCACCUCCAUCAUUUCUUCUACCUAUUCAUCUUCUUCUAUUGGAAAUUCUGCAAGAAACUCUGCGGUAACUUGAGACUUUGGUGAAGAUAAAAUUUCAUAACCAAUCUCAUAGUUUCCUAAUUGUGCAUUCCACCUCUCUAUUCUUCCUGACCUCUUCGAAUUCUUCAUUGCGUUUUCAAUUGGUACUCUUUGUAAUACUUUAAUUUUGUGAGCUUGAAAAUAAAUGCGAAGCUUUAAUGAUGCAUAUACCAGUGCGAGAAUCAACUUUUCAAUUUUUCAGUAAUUUUUCUCUGCCGAGUUAUAUGUUUUGCUUAUGUAAUAUAUUGUUUUUCUACACCUUCAUCUGAACGUAACAGUACUUCACUCAAUGCAUGAGAUGUUUAUGCUAGGUGGUGGCAUAUCUCUAAUCGCUUGUACCAUCUCCGGAUCAACUUGUAUUCCCUCCUUGGAUAUAAUAUAUCCUAAAAAUUUUCCUGAUGAUACGCCAUUACACAUUUUUCUGGGUUUACUUUAAUAUUGAAUUUUCACAUUUGUUCAAAUAUUGAUCGCAAAUCAUCAACAUGAUCUUUCGCCUCUUUGCUUUUAGUUAGCAUAUCAUCUACAUAGACUUCUAAUGUUUUAUGUAUCCAUUUUUUUCGAAUACUUUCUGCACCAUUCUUUGAUAAGUUGCACCUGCAUUCUUCAAUCCAAAUGGCAUUUUCGUGUAACAAUAUAAACCUCCUGGUGCGAAGAAAGCAGUGUGUUCUUGAUCUUCUUCUGUCAAAGAAAUUUGAUUCUAGCCUUUAUACCCAUCUAACAUUGUGACUCUAUCAUUCCCUGAUGCCGAUUCCACCAUUUGAGGUAUGUCGGGUAAAGGGAAGCUGUCUUUAGGGCACGCUUUGUUUAGAUCUGUAAAAUCUAUGGAAAUCCUAAUUCCGAUGUUUUUUUUAGGUACCACCACCAUAUUUGCUAUCCACUCUGGAUAUUUUGCCUCCCUUAUAAUUCCUGCAUCUAACAUCUUCUGCAAUGCUGCUUCUAUUUUAGGAUGAUAGUCAGUUGCAAUCUUCCUUGUCCUUUGCCUGAACGGCUUUACAUUCUUCUUAAUGUCUAAUUUAUGACAUGCGACAAUAUCAUUAUAUUCAUACUCCAUGCGAAAAUAUCAUUAUAUUCUCGCAGAAUUCUUAUCGUUUUUUCCUCUUCUUCUUUAUCCAUUUUAGUUCCAAUUCUUUAAAUUUUUGGUUCUUCUCCAGUUCCUAUAUUUAUUUCAUUUGCUGGUUCCGCUGCAGUAAAAUUCGUUUUUGGUUCCCUCAUAGGUGUUGGUUUCUUAAUUUCUUUAAUUUGUCCACCUUCCUCCGCUGGUUCUUCGCCUGGUAUUCCUUUUCCCUCUUUCGCUCUUAUCAUGUAUAUUCGAAAUUCCUCUUCUUUCCUUUGUUCUAUUGCUUUUCUCCAUCGAUCCUUUCGCUUCUUUGCUCUCCCUUCAUAAUUUCACACAUCUAUUUGAUUACAAGUAUUCACAACCUUAACAUCUCCUUUGAUUUCACCUAUACCGCUUGGAAUAGGGAAUACAUUGAUGUAAUGUUGAAGCUACGACCUUUAGUCCAUGUACGCAUGGUCGUCCCAACAACAUGUUGUAUGGUGACUCAAUGUCAAUCACACACAGUGUUAUCUUUGUUUGAACCUCUCCCGGUAAUAUUCGCAUAACGAUUUCUCCUUUUGGCUUUGUAAUUGCUCUAUUGAAUCCAUGAACAUUAUAUGAUGUGGUUGUCAUUUCUGCAUCUUCAUAUCCUAUUUCUUUGAAUGUGCGAUAAAAUAUUACAUCAACUACACUUCCUAUAUCUAUCAAUGUUCUAUCAAUCGCCCAUCCUUCAAAUCCCCUCUGUUUUCCAAUAAUUUUUUCUCGCUCAGCUGUGACCGUAAUUACUAAUGGAUCUGUUCGCUGUAAGUUUUCUUCUGGAAUUUCAUCCGCCGCAAAGGAAAUUUUCACCUUUUCCCAAUCUUGUAAUGAAAUUCUUUGUCUACCGUCUCUAUCUUCUUACCUUCGUAAUUUGUUUUAUGAAUUCUCCCUGUUACUGUUGCUUGAAAAUCUGCCUCAGAAAUUGAUACUAUAAUUAUGUUAUUACACUGUAUAUCUCUGCCUCUUCCUUGAAUUAGUAUGAGUCUUCUCUUCAUGGAUCCCUUAUGAUUCUUCCUUAAUUUCCCUAAGAACUUCAGAUCUAUUAACAAGAAUUAUCAUCCAGAGCUGUUUCUAGCGCCAAAAAUGUAGUUGUCAUAAAUCUUACAAUUACGUUCCACUAUCACUAAAUGAGAAUUUAGGUGACCAUCUUCUUAUUAUAUGAAAUGUAGAUAGAAUUACAAAGAUUGAUCCAACUAUUACAAUGAUCUAUUUUCCCUAGAUUUACUUUCUCUUUCUAUUUCUUGACCAAGACUCACUCCAGAACUCCCUCACAAGUAAUGACUUCUCUCCUUUAUAUAAGAUUUUACAUAGUGGAUGACAACUAAGAAACCCACUAUUUUCAGGAUCACUAUGCGACACAUUCGCUCAUAUACAAUCGCUCAUCUUCGCAUAGAAUAUCUCUUCGCACAGUUCUUCGCACUUUACUCGUGACUUUGUUGACAUCAUCUGAUUCUUGAUGUCUGCACCAUCAUUUGCAUCAUUUAAUACCAUGUCCUACUUUCAUCAGUCUUGUGACACCUACAAAUCCUUAACCGUUCAAUGAAAUGUGCGCAAGUAAUAACGAUGUUGAGAACAAAAGCAUCA